UACAGAGGGGGCGAGCGUUGUUCGGAAUUACUGGGCGUAAAGGGCGCGUAGGCGGCUUAUCAAGUCAGGCGUGAAAUUCCCGGGCUCAACCUGGGGGCUGCGCUUGAUACUGAUGAGCUUGAAUGCGGGAGAGGAUAGUGGAAUUCCCAGUGUAGAGGUGAAAUUCGUAGAUAUUGGGAAGAACACCGGUGGCGAAGGCGGCUAUCUGGCCCGUAAUUGACGCUGAGGCGCGAAAGCGUGGGGAGCAAACAGG
rnacentral:rRNA from 1 species